rnacentral:rRNA from 1 species
GUCUACGGCCAUACCACCCUGAACGCUCCCGAUCUCGUCUGAUCUCAGAAGCUAAGGAGGGUCGGGCCUGGUUAGUACUUGGAUGGGAGGUCAUGAUCCCAGGGUCCUGGGAUC